rnacentral:tRNA from 1 species
GCCACUUUGGCUCAGAGGUAGAGCAACGCAUUCGUAAUGCGUAGGUCCCCAGUUCGAAUCUGGGAAGUGGCU